UAAGUCAGCUUCCCACCGGCCCACCGAUGCAGCACAAAUUUUAUGAUUUAUCAUUUGUAAUUAAGAGAGGACACAUGUAUAACUACUAUAAAUACUACCAAUAUAACCAUGACAAACCAAAGCGGCAUACUUUUGUUUUCUUUAUCAUCACUUGCUUGCCUCAAAUAUUCAUCUAUCCUUUUUUCCUCAAUAUAUAUUUGGAUCCAUAAUGAUAUAUCAACACUUAGAGAUGGAGAGUAAUCAAGAAAGAGAGAUUGAGUAUUGUCGUGCUAGGAAAAUGAAUGCAUAUAUUCAUAGCCAAAUUAUGAGAAUUAGAGCAGAGGAUUCACAGCUUGGGGAAGAUAUAGCUAAGAAGCUUAGGCAGAGAGUUGUUGAUCAGGAUGUUGCUUCUGUUUUUAUGUUGUCUAAGCCUAUGUUGCCUGCUUCACCACUUGGUGGGAAAACGCCCACCAAUUAGGUAUAAUUCUGCUUGAUUGGAACAGGAAGAUUUUCUCUACGCUGGGGAUACAGGAAAAGGGAAUAGAGAUGGAGAUGAAGUUCAAUUCUCAACACUUCCGUUAUGUAUAUUUUGAUGUACAGUAUAAUACGUAGGAAGAAAAUAGACGAAAUCUCCAACUCCACUAUGUAUAUUAAAAUAUUGAAAUACCAAAAACGUAGUUGAGAAGCAAAGUCUUGAGAAUAGUAUGGUGAAUGAAAAAAAAGUUAAUGAA